GAGCGUUGUUCGGAAUUACUGGGCGUAAAGGGCGCGCAGGCGGCCUGGGAAGUCUUGGGUGAAAGCCCCCAGCUCAACUGGGGAAUGGCCUGAGAAACCACUAGGCUGGAGUGCUGGAGAGGGAAGCGGAAUUCCCGGUGGAGCGGUGAAAUGCGUAGAUAUCGGGAGGAACACCAGAGGCGAAGGCGGCUUCCUGGACAGACACUGACGCUGAGGCGCGAAAGCUAGGGGAGCAAACGGGAUUAGAUACCCCGGUAGUCCUAGCUGUAAACGAUGGGUACUAGAUGUGGGGGGUAAUUGAAAGUCCUUCCGUGUCGGCGAUAACUCAAUAAGUACCCCGCCUGGGGAGUACGGCCGCAAGGCUGAAACUCAAAGGAAUUGACGGGGGCCCGCACAAGCGGUGGAGCAUGUGGUUUAAUUCGACGCAACGCGAAGAACCUUACCGGGGUUUGAACUGACCUAGACAAUUGCAGAGAUGUAACGUUCUCUUUUUAAGAGACUGGGACAGAGGUGCUGCACGGCUGUCGUCAGCUCGUGUCGUGAGAUGUUGGGUUAAGUCCCGCAACGAGCGCAACCCUUGCCCGGAGUUGCCAUCAGGUUAUGCUGGGCACUCUACGGGGACUGUCGGCGAAAAGCCGGAGGAAGGUGGGGAUGACGUCAAGUCCUCAUGGCCUUUAUGCCCCGGGCUACACACGUGCUACAAUGGGCGGUACAAAGGGCAGCCAACUCGCAAGAGUGAGCGAAUCCCAAAAAGCCGUUCUCAGUUCGGAUUGCAGUCUGCAACUCGACUGCAUGAAGUUGGAAUCGCUAGUAAUCGCGGAUCAGCAUGCCGCGGUGAAUACGUUCCCGGGCCUUGCACACACCGCCCGUC
rnacentral:rRNA from 1 species